GCACGCAGCUGGACCUGGUCUGACUGCUCCACCUGUGUGCACUCACACAGCUUUCACCCACAGGUGGACGUAGAUGCCCUGUUAAUCCCGGCGUCUAGAUGAGGGGCUGCAGUGGGGUCCCCUUCCAAAAUCCCACAGCUGGUGGCAGAGGAGACUCCUGGCCUUCACCCCCAGGCUACACUGCCUGCUGACAGGUGCAGGGUUUGAGGGGAGAAAGGAGGGGUAUGGCAGCCCUUGGGUGCAGGAGGGAGCCCACGUCCUGUGCUCUGUCUCUGCACACAGGGACCCAGCAUCUCUGGUUUAGUGUCUGUGGCUGCUCCAUCCUGUCCUGCCAUUGACCACCACUUUUUAAUGAUGCCUUCUCUCUCUCAUGUUACACCCCCCUGCAUCCUUCAGGGGCCUCUCACAGGCUCCUAAGUAGAGGCUCAGAAGCACAGGGGCUGCUGUAGGUGCCCUCUGCUCAUGUGUUCACCGGUUCACUCCCCAGGGGAGCAGGACCCUUGAAUCCUGUAGCAGCCGAAGCAUCUCAAGCAGCAUCUGUCUCCCACGCCCCCUUCCUCCAGCCAGCGUGGCCUAGUGCAGUGUGAGCUCCUGCAGAAAGUGUCUGCAGGGCCACAGCUCCCUCACUCAUCCCCAGCCACAGCAGGUUCCAUUGGCCACAGCCGUUCUUGGCACACUCAGCAGCAAACCUGGCAAGGCGGCAAGUGGGGAUCAAUGCCAGCCCUCGUGACUUUCAGAUCUCCAUCAGCCAGGACUCCAAAAUAGCAUCAAGAAGCAGUGGAUAUGCUCCAUUUCAGGAGCAUAUCAGGGACUGCUGCUCAGCUGUUACAGGGCCAGGGUCUGAUCUUCUCCCCCAAGACAGGGGACAGGGUACCUCAGUGAUACCUGGUUUGCUGCAGAGGGAGGUGUUUGCCAGGCUUCCAGAAGCCCACACACAUUUGCAGAGAUAAUUGCUUCCGGCUGCUUCCCCCCUCCAUCAGCCUCCUGCACGUGAGGGGUAGGGCUGGGCAGAGAUGUUAGGAGGGCCCUGCACAAGCCUGCCAGUGAGGUCCCCCCAGCACCAGAGCCCGAGCCCAUGUCUAUGAUUAGAAAAGCCUGUGAUUUGGAAACUCAGCAUGGAAGAGUCUGUGGUUUAGAGAUUCCAUGAUUCCGCCUUCCAGACAUAAUGCCGAGUGGGGAAAGAGUUGCAGAAAAAGAUAUGCAAUGUGAUCCUACUUAUGUAAAGUUUAAAAACGUGCACAAGUGUUUAUAUGGUUUGUGGAUACCUCUCAAUGCAGGAGAUUCACUACAGAGUGAAUUCACCAUGGGGAUGGGAAGAGGGCAGGACUGGCGAGGGGAUUUAACAGAGGCGGUGACCCUGGGCUUCCAUCAUAUUCGUCAUGUUCUGUUUCUUGUAGUGGGUCGGGGUAUAUCAGAGUUCAUGGUAUUCAUCUUUAUGCCUUUUGGCAUAUUUUAAAUCUUUUAUUUAAAAAAUUCAUAAUAUGGUGGGUUCGUUGGUGCAUGCCUGUAGUCCCAAGCUAAGGCAGGAAGAUCACUGAGCCCAGGAGUUUGAGGCUGUAGUGUGCUAUGGUUGCUCCCAUGAAAGCCACUGCACUGCAGCCUGGGCAGCAUAGUGAGACCUCAUCUUUAAAAAAAA
ensembl:lncRNA